AUUCUGCUGCAAUUUGAGCUUUCAAUUCAACAGAUGGAAACUAAAAGAAACUAGAUGGCUCUGUUAACAGGGGACAUUUUCAGAUGUUUGAAAGACAUCAGGAAGUUGAUUAUCUCCAAGAUCUCUGGAGAACACCAGAGAACAAAGAGAUCUCUCCCAUCUGGAGAUAAGUUACAGAGAGAGAGAGAGGCAGAGACACAGGCAGAGGGAGAAGCAGGCUCCAUGCACCGGGAGCCCGACGUGGGAUUCGAUCCCGGGUCUCCAGGAUCGCGCCCUGGGCCAAAGGCAGGCGCCAAACCGCUGCGCCACCCAGGGAUCCCGUGAGUUUUCUACUAUACCAAGCCUCCUCUUCACAUUGAGCUAAGAAUGUUUUCCACCUGAAUGCAUCUUAGACAUGAUGAUGGAAGUCUGUGAAU